UAUGAGAUUGUAUAAUUUGUUCUAGUUUUACGGGUGAUUUUUGCAGAUUGACAGCAAGAUUUUUUGACUCUGGUGACAGUAAAGGUUUAAGCAGAAACAGUACAGGUUAUUUAUUUAUUUAAAUUUUCACAGUGUAAGGUGUUAGAUCUGCCAUCAUUCAAGCAUUGCCUGGAAUAAGGAAAGGUUGAGAAGGAUUGGGGUAAGCAGAUUGACAGCAAGAUUUUUUGACUCUGGUGACAAUAAAGGUUUAAGCAGAAACAGUACAGGUUAUUUAUUUAUUUAAAUUUUUAGUUUUCAUUUAUCUAACAUUGUACUAACUAGAACAGAGUAUCCCUAGCUUGUGGUUGAGAAGGAUUGGAGUAAGCAGGUUGUAUUAAAGGCUAAGUGGAAGGUGGAAAAUAAAGAACUUGAAGAAUUGAACAGUGAAACUAAUAGGAAAUUAACAGAGUGCCAGAUUCUUUGUUCGGUUGCUCUAUUAAUUACCAUUGGUUGUUAUUGAAAAUAAAAAUC